rnacentral:rRNA from 1 species
UGCAAGUCGAACGCACUGAUUUUAUCAGUGAGUGGCGAACGGGUGAGUAAUACAUAAGUAACCUGCCCUCAUGAGGGGGAUAACUAUUAGAAAUGAUAGCUAAGACCGCAUAGGUGAAGGGGUCGCAUGACCGCUUCAUUAAAUAUCCGUAUGGAUAGCAGGAGGAUGGACUUAUGGCGCAUUAGCUGGUUGGUGAGGUAACGGCUCACCAAGGCGACGAUGCGUAGCCGACCUGAGAGGAUGGACGGCCACACUGGGACUGAGACACGGCCCAGACUCCUACGGGAGGCAGCAGUAGGGAAUUUUCGGCAAUGGGGGAAACCCUGACCGAGCAACGCCGCGUGAGGGAAGAAGUAUUUCGGUAUGUAAACCUCUGUUAUAAAGGAAGAACGGUAUGAAUAGGAAAUGAUUCAUAAGUGACGGUACUUUAUGAGAAAGCCACGGCUAACUACGUGCCAGCAGCCGCGGUAAUACGUAGGUGGCGAGCGCUAUCCGGAAUCAUUGGGCGUAAAGAGGGAGCAGGCGGCAAUAGAGGUCUGCGGUGAAAGCCUGAAGCUAAACUUCAGUAAGCCGUGGAAACCAAAUAGCUAGAGUGCAGUAGAGGAUCGUGGAAUUCCAUGUGUAGCGGUGAAAUGCGUAGAUAUAUGGAGGAACACCAGUGGCGAAGGCGACGAUCUGGGCUGCAACUGACGCUCAGUCCCGAAAGCGUGGGGAGCAAAUAGGAUUAGAUACCCUAGUAGUCCACGCCGUAAACGAUGAGUACUAAGUGUUGG